AUUGAACGCUGGCGGCAGGCCUAACACAUGCAAGUCGAGCGAGCGGCGGACGGGUGAGUAAUGUCUGGGAAACUGCCUGAUGGAGGGGGAUAACUACUGGAAACGGUAGCUAAUACCGCAUACCAUCAGAUGUGCCCAGAUGGGAUUAGCUAGUAGGUGGGGUGACGGCUCACCUAGGCGACGAUCCCUAGCUGGUCUGAGAGGAUGACCAGCCAAACUGGAACUGAGACACGGGCCAGACUCCUACGGGAGGCAGCAGGGGGGAAGAUUGCACAAGGGGCGCAAGCCUGAGGCAGCCAUGCCGCGUGUGUGAAGAAGGCCUGCGGGUUGUAAAGCACUUUCAGCGGGGAGGCGUUACCCGCAGAAGAAGCACCGGCUAACUCAGUGCCAGCCGCCGCGGUAAUUC
rnacentral:rRNA from 1 species